UAAUACGUAGGGUGCAAACGUUGUUCGGAAUCACUGGGCAUAAAGAGCGCGUAGGCGGUCUGAUAAGUCCUGUGUGAAAGCCCCCGGCUCAACCGGGGAAUUGCACAGGAUACUGUCGGGCUAGAGUACAGGAGGGGAGAGCGGAAUUCCUGGUGGAGCGGUGAAAUGCGUAGAUAUCAGGAGGAACGCCAGUGGCGAAAGCGGCUCUCUGGUCUGUUACUGACGCUGAGGUGCGAAAGCUAGGGGAGCAAACGGGAUUAGAUACCCCGGUAGUCCUAGCCCUAAACGAUGGGUACUAAGUAGAGGGAACUCCGAUGUUUUCUCUGCCGGAGCUAAUGUAUUAAGUACCCCGCCUGGGGAGUAUGGUCGCAAGGCUA
rnacentral:rRNA from 1 species